rnacentral:lncRNA from 1 species
GCGAAACCCAAGGAACCGGAGAAGAAACCCGACAAACCAAAAGAAGCUGAGAAGAAGCCGGAAAAACCCAAAGAAGCUGAGAAGAAACCGGAAAAACCCAAAGAAGCAGCUGAGAAGAAACCGGAAAAACCCAAAGAAGCUGAGAAGAAACCGGAAAAGCCCAAAGACGGUGAGAAGAAACCGGAGAAGCCUAAAGAGGCGGCGGCGGAGAAAAAGCCUGAUAAACCGAAAGAGGCAGCGGCUGCGCCGCCACAGAAGGUUGCGGAACCUGCUGCAGCUGCUCCUUUACCACCGAUGGCGUAUGCAGUUGGGUAUACUUGCUCCGAAGGUUAUUAUAAUGGCUAUGGUGGAGGACCUAGCUAUUAUGGUGGACC